GACGAACGCUGGCGGCGUGCUUAACACAUGCAAGUCGAACGGAAAGGCCCUGCUUUUGUGGGGUGCUCGAGUGGCGAACGGGUGAGUAACACGUGAGUAACCUUCCCUUGACUUUGGGAUAACUUCAGGAAACUGGGGCUAAUACCGGAUAGGAGCUCCUGCUGCAUGGUGGGGGUUGGAAAGUUUCGGCGGUUGGGGAUGGACUCGCGGCUUAUCGGCUUGUUGGUGGGGUAGUGGCUUACCAAGGCUUUGACGCGUAGCCGGCCUGAGAGGGUGACCGGCCACAUUGGGACUGAGAUACGGCCCAGACUCCUACGGGAGGCAGCAGUGGGGAAGAUUGCACAAUGGGCGGAAGCCUGAUGCAGCAACGCCGCGUGGGGGAUGACGGCCUUCGGGUUGUAAACCGCUUUCGCCUGUGACGAAGCGUGAGUGACGGUAAUGGGUAAAGAAGCACCGGCUAACUACGUG
rnacentral:rRNA from 1 species